GCCUGGGUGGCUCAGUGGGUUAAGCGUCCGACUUCGGCUCAGGUCAUGAUCUCCACAGUUCGUGAGUUCGAGCCCCGCUUCGGGCU
rnacentral:tRNA from 1 species